rnacentral:lncRNA from 1 species
CCACUAAAGAAGAGGAGCCAGUAGUUGAAGCAAAGGGGGAAGCUGUUAGCAUUGAAGAGGAGACUCCCACUAAAGAAGAAGAACCAGUAGUUGAAGCAGCUAAGGAGGAUGCUGCAGUUAGCACUGAAGAGGAGACAACCACUAAAGAAGAAGAACCAACAGUUGAACCAAUGGAGGAAGCUCCAGUUAGCACUGAAACUACUGUUGAGAAGACUGAGGAAUAGAUGGGGAAUGUUGCAUGAAGUGUUUUGAGUACUAAAUGGAAGUAUGUCUUAUGAAGUUCUUGCUUGUGCUGCAUAUUAGUUUUCUUAAGUUAUUUGGUUAUGAUGAGAGUUGAGAUGUAGAAAUAGGUGGGUGUCCAUUGGGUCGACGUGUACCGUAUAUUCCACUUGGCAAGCAUUUAGUGGUCCAUAUGUAGUAAACAUUCUCAUACUCACUUGGAGAAUGUCUAAUGUGCCAUGGAGUGGAGUCUGGUUGUUGGUCACAAUGAGUCAAAGAGGUUUGUGUGGG